AUUGAACGCUGGCGGCAUGCCUUACACAUGCGAGUCGAACGGCAGCACGGGUGCUUGCACCUGGUGGCGAGUGGCGAACGGGUGAGUAAUACAUCGGAACAUGUCCUGUAGUGGGGGAUAGCCCGGCGAAAGCCGGAUUAAUACCGCAUACGAUCUACGGAUGAAAGCGGGUGACCUUCGGGCCUCGCGCUAUAGGGUUGGCCGAUGGCUGAUUAGCUAGUUGGUGGGGUAAAGGCCUACCAAGGCGACGAUCAGUAGCUGGUCUGAGAGGACGACCAGCCACACUGGGACUGAGACACGGCCCAGACUCCUACGGGAGGCAGCAGUGGGGAAUUUUGGACAAUGGGCGAAAGCCUGAUCCAGCAAUGCCGCGUGUGUGAAGAAGGCCUUCGGGUUGUAAAGCACUUUUGUCCGGAAAGAAAUCCUUGGCCCUAAUACGGUCGGGGGAUGACGGUACCGGAAGAAUAAGCACCGGCUAACUACGUG
rnacentral:rRNA from 1 species